CUGCUCUGGGCUGCGAAAUUUGAGAUCGAGCAUCUAAUGGGACAACCUGAAAAUGCAUCCAUAUUAAAUUUUGAGCACAUCUAUACCACAUCAACAGGAAUUUUCUCUGUGUUGCUUUCCUGUUCAUCACGCUUAAGAGUCAUCGCUUCAGCUUUGAUGCUUUAGUGUUUGGAUGAAGUAACUGGAUGAAACAGUGGUUCUGGCUGAUCAGGAAUCCUUUGUUGUGGGUCACUCAACAGGAAGAAGAGUUUGUUCAGUCCACAGGCUGUGCAUGAGGAACUGUGAAUGCCUACACAAAAAAGAUGGGAGACACUGGUAUUUUUAGCUUUCCUGUCAAUGCUUUUCAGAAUAAAUCAAGAAGAGGAAACACAGCAAGCAAAGUCCUCUUGGACAAUCCUUUGGGCAAGGGAACUCAUAUAAACUAGGGUAAAAAAUUACAGUUGACAUCUUGACAAUUUGUGGAAGUAAUUAAAGCAAAAAAAGCACAUCCAUUAAGAAGUCACAAGCUAGAUCAAAUGAACUAAGAGCACAUUACAAAGUGCUGUGGGAAAUUGUGAGCCACUUCUCCAGAAUAAUUUGCUGCUCUGUUCCUUGUACCUUUCUCAGUAAUGCUUUCCUGGGUAGGAAGCAUUAAUUGGGUUAUAGGUGUACACACACCCCUCAGUGGAUGUUUCCCUACAAGAUAAGCUUUGUGAGGUUCUUAUAAAAACAAUUUUGUGUUUCUGUCCAUGCUCUGGUUAUCUCUAAGUUUCCAGCCAUUACUGUCUUGUUUUUUCAGUCUUACUCUGUCCAGUUACCAAGAUCCUAAUGCUGCAGUAACAUUCAGACCCUUUUAGGGCUGUGGUGACUGGCCUGGUAGAGUCACAUGAAGAAACAAAUCCUUUUUUUGUUAACAGGAGCAGAACUGAAAGCACACACUGCCCAGCCUCAGUGCAGCACCUUCCUAACGAUGGAACUGCUCUCAAACAGACUGCAAUAACUGACAGAAAAGGCUUUAUCUUCUCUUUCACGAGAACCUUUAAACUUCCCUUUCAAUAAAAGCUUAUUUGCCAAUUGGUUUGACCCCCCCAAUUCACUUGUUCAUUAGAGGAAUUCAUCAUUUUUCCCCAAUCUGAUGGUUAAAAGGUAUUGGUAACUCUCACCUGGGAGUGUGAAUGAGGUUUGGUUUUUAUUCCAGGCACCAUGCUGUUACAUUUAUUGUGAAAUCCCCACAAUACCAUUAAUAAAGACUUUUUUAAACCUCAUAAA